rnacentral:rRNA from 1 species
ACGCUGGCGGCAUGCCUAACACAUGCAAGUCGAACGAAGUCCUUCGGGGCUUAGUGGCGCACGGGUGCGUAACGCGUGGGAAUCUACCCUUAGGUUCGGAAUAACAGUUGGAAACGACUGCUAAUACCGGAUGAUGACGUAAGUCCAAAGAUUUAUCGCCUAGGGAUGAGCCCGCGUAGGAUUAGCUAGUUGGUGUGGUAAGGCGCACCAAGGCGACGAUCCUUAGCUGGUCUGAGAGGGUGAUCAGCCACACUGGGACUGAGACACGGCCCAGACUCCUACGGGAGGCAGCAGUGGGGAAUAUUGGACAAUGGGCGAAAGCCUGAUCCAGCAAUGCCGCGUGAGUGAUGAGGGCCUUAGGGUUGUAAAGCUCUUUUACCCGGGAUGAUAAUGACAGUACCGGGAGAAUAAGCUCCGGCUAACUCCGUGCCAGCAGCCGCGGUAAUACGGAGGGAGCUAGCGUUAUUCGGAAUUACUGGGCGUAAAGCGCACGUAGGCGGCUUUGUAAGUAAGAGGUGAAAGCCUGGUGCUCAACACCAGAACUGCCUUUUAGACUGCAUCGCUUGAAUCCAGGAGAGGUGAGUGGAAUUCCGAGUGUAGAGGUGAAAUUCGUAGAUAUUCGGAAGAACACCAGUGGCGAAGGCGGCUCACUGGACUGGUAUUGACGCUGAGGUGCGAAAGCGUGGGGAGCAAAC